CGUCGCAGAAGUGCCCACCCAGCUUCUGCCCAUUGAGGGUCUCAAGCAGAGAGCGUGAGAAGUUCUGCAGAUGUAUGUGGCGCACAGCCUCUACAGCCGCCGACUCCGACUCCUCUUCAGGCACCAGGCCUGGCCGUGGCCGCCUUCUCACCGACUCCAAGGCAGCACUUCCGGGCGCUUCUCUUUAUUUUUAUACAGUUUUAUUGAGAUAUAAUUUACAUGCUAUCCAGCCCAUCUAUUUCAAGUGUACCAUGCAAGGGGUUUGUAUAUAUUCACAGAGUUGUGUAUCCAUCACCAUCGUUUUAGAACAUUCAUCACUCCAGAAGAAACUACUACCCAUCAGCAGCCACUGCCCAUUUCCCUGAUCUGCCCCGCCCUAGGAAAUCCGUAAUCACUUUCAGUCUAUGGAUUUGCCUAUUCUAGACCAUUCAUAUAAAUGAAGUCACACAACACUGGGUCUUAUGUGACUGGCUUCUAUCAAAGUUUGCAAGGUUCAUUUAUGUUCAUGGGCUGACCCCACAUUGGACACCGCUGCAUCCAUGUCCAUCACACAACACAGCUGCCGUUUCUUCUGCCUGCUUAUGGGAAAGUCCCCUCUUCUCCUCCGUUUUCUUCUCUUCCUGCCCUAUCACACCGUGCACUUCUCCCUUUCCUUAAAGAACCACCAUCAACUUUAGGAGGAGGGAAAGGGGUGGCUCUGGCAGGAAAAGCCAGAAUCCCCUCUAGCCAGCAGAGAGAGAGAGGAAUGGCUGCAUGUUUUCUCCCCCAGUCCAAGGCACUGGGUCUUGGCUGGGUUGAAGGUUCCAAGCUGCUCUCCUGCUGUGUCGGUGAGUUCUGGUCAACCUGCAACCUCCUGAUAUGGCCAUUGCAGUUCAUCGAGUCUUCAGGGACUCCCCAUGGCCUGGAGUACUUUGCCUUGCUUACACGGGAGAGGAGAAUGGAUUUAUAGAGAACAUCAUCUAAAUCCAACUUGACCAUUGUGUGGCCACACUUGCUAGAUUGCUAUAGUCUAAAUCUAGCAUUGUAGAAAGACGGGGGAGCUUGGAGCUGCACAAACCCAGGUCUGGAACUGGCUCCUUACCUUGGAAGGUGAAUGAUCCUGCCAGGACUCUUAGCCUCCCUGGGUCUCAAUUUCUUUAUCUGUUUCAUGGGAAUGAGGAUCUCUGCUGGGUGGUUGGGUGAUGUGGGGGCUGUGUGAAAACAGCUUGUCAAUACAAGCCAAAAUAGAAAUAUUUCUCCACAGAGUAUGAAGGUCAAAUGAGAGAAUACAUUUAAAUUAAAUGGAAAAUUAAAAUGGUAAAAAAUGCAAAGCUGUAUUGAAAGUUCCGAGCUUCUCUAUAAGGAGCUUUUUGACUAUGUAAGAAUCCUGUACUCGUUCCCCCUAAAUAUAAAAAAAAGUUGAAGGAGGCAGAAGGGAGAGUGAUGCACGAUGGGCAAGGACUUCACCUGCUGUUGCUGGCUUUGAGGAUGGAGGAAGGAGGCCACAAACCUAGAAGCUGGAGCCCCUAGAAGCUAGAAAAGGCAGGGACCCGAUUCUUUCCUUGAGCCUCCAGAAGGGACACAGCCCCGCCAGCACCUUGACUUUAGCCUGGUGAGAUCCUCUUAGGACUUUUGGCAAUCAGAACUAUAAGACAGAAAUGGAAGCCACUGAGUCUGUAGCUGUUUGUUGCAGCAGCAAUAGAAAACUAAUGCAGGGCCCAAGAAAUCACUGGUGAUGAGAUCGGGAAAGUGGGCUCAGGAGGUCUGGAUCUGUGAUGAGAUGGGGGAAGUGGGCUCAGGAGGUCUGGAUCUGUGAUGAGAUGGGGGAAGUGGGCUCAGGAGGUCUGGAUCUGUGAUGAGAUGGGGGAAGUGGGCUCAGGAGGUCUGGAUCUGUGAUGAGAUGGGGAAAGUGGGCUCAGGAGGUCUGGAUCUGUGAUGAGAUGGGGGAAGUGGGCUCAGGAGGUCUGGAUCUGUGAUGAGAUGGGGAAAGUGGGCUCAGGAGGUCUGGAUCUGUGAUGAGAUCGGGAAAGUGGGCUCAAGAGGUCUGGAUCUGUGGUGAGAUGGGGGAAGUGGGCUCAGGAGGUCUGGAUCUGUGAUGAGAUGGGGAAAGUGGGCUCAGGAGGUCUGGAUCUGUGAUGAGAUGGGGAAAGUGGGCUCAGGAGGUCUGGAUCUGGGGUGGGGAUCUGGAGUGGAAGGGGAAUUCAUUUGUUCAUUGUCUAUCCUUUUGUAUUGAUUGAAUUUUUUAUAUAUAUAUGUGAAUUUUCACAAUAAAAUUUUUUUCCAAAAUAAAAUAAACAAAAGGGGCUUUUUGCAACCCAAUUCCUAUCUAUGUCUGAGUCCACUUGUAUUGCAUGGGUCUUUCUGCUAACGUCCUUAUAUUUGGGUGACAAUCUGAAUGUCAGCGACCAAUCAGAGCAGAGGCAGACUUUGGAGUGGGCAGGGCAUCCUGAGGGCCCUGAUUCCUGCCAUGAGACGUAACCCUUUAGGUGCCAGACCAUGGGGAGGUCCAGGGGUUGCAG
rnacentral:lncRNA from 1 species